CCUGCCCUGAAUUACAUGUUUAAGGGCUCUUGAGCAGUGUCCAUCAGGGAGAAACAGAAAGAGUGAUUAAAAAUGACUAGGAUAGUGUAAUCUGAAGCCAAAUGAUUAGGUCAUGGGAAAUAGAAAGGAGACCUGCAAAAGGUUUUCAAAAGUUAAUGAUUUUUGUGAGUUUGAAAGGGAACAACUCUCAAGUAGAUUAGUAUUUGUCUAUUAUUUCUUAAUGGAGAGAAUAAGUACAGAUAUCAGAUUACUGAUAAAUUCAGAAAUCUUGGUUACAUUUCAGUUUUUUUAUUCUUUGAUAGGUGUUUGAUCAGUACUUAAAUUUUAUUUCUUUGGAAGAUGAAAUGUUUACAGUGAGAAAUCAAGACAGAGAUUCAAUAUCAUACUAUGCACUUAACAGACCAGAUGCCAAAGAUACAGACAUUGAAAUGCUAAGAGAUGUUUUAGUCGACAGUCUCUUUAGUGUACUGGUGUCUUUAGGGACUCUCUCAAUAAUUAGAUGUGCAAAGGGCAAUGCUGCUGAAAUGGUAGGAGAGGUA